CAGUCGAGGGGCAGCAUAAUGGAUAGCAAUAUCUAUGGUGGCGGCCGGCGCACGGGUGCGUAACGCGUAUGCAACCUACCUUUAACAGGGGGAUAACACUGAGAAAUUGGUACUAAUACCCCAUAAUAUCAUAGAAGGCAUCUUUUAUGGUUGAAAAUUCCGAUGGUUAGAGAUGGGCAUGCGUUGUAUUAGCUAGUUGGUGGGGUAACGGCUCACCAAGGCGACGAUACAUAGGGGGACUGAGAGGUUAACCCCCCACACUGGUACUGAGACACGGACCAGACUCCUACGGGAGGCAGCAGUGAGGAAUAUUGGUCAAUGGACGCAAGUCUGAACCAGCCAUGCCGCGUGCAGGAUGACGGCUCUAUGAGUUGUAAACUGCUUUUGUACGAGGGUAAACGCAGAUACGUGUAUCUGUCUGAAAGUAUCGUACGAAUAAGGAUCGGCUAACUCCGUGCCAGCAGCCGCGGUAAUACGGAGGAUUCAAGCGUUAUCCGGAUUUAUUGGGUUUAAAGGGUGCGUAGGCGGUUUGAUAAGUUAGAGGUGAAAUUUCGGGGCUCAACCCUGAACGUGCCUCUAAUACUGUUGAGCUAGAGAGUAGUUGCGGUAGGCGGAAUGUACGGUGUAGCGGUGAAAUGCUUAGAGAUCAUACAGAACACCGAUUGCGAAGGCAGCUUACCAAACUAUAUCUGACGUUGAGGCACGAAAGCGUGGGGAGCAAACAGGAUUAGAUACCCUGGUAGUCCACGCAGUAAACGAUGAUAACUCGUUGUCGGCGAUACACAGUCGGUGACUAAGCGAAAGCGAUAAGUUAUCCACCUGGGGAGUACGUU
rnacentral:rRNA from 1 species